rnacentral:tRNA from 1 species
GAGGCUGUAGCUCAGCACGGUUAGAGCACUGCUCUGAUAAGGCAGGGGUCCCAGGUUCAAAUCCUGGCAGCCUCA